rnacentral:tRNA from 1 species
AAUCAAUGAGCUUGAAUAAGCAUAUAUUUUGAAAAUAUAGGAUAAUAAAUUUUUUAUUAUUGAUUU